AGAGUUUGAUCCUGGCUCAGGAUGAACGCUGGCGGCGUGCUUAACACAUGCAAGUCGAGCGAACAAAGCCUUGUGAAGCCUUCGGGUGAAUCAGGGGUGCGUGAGCGGCGGACGGGUGAGUAACACGUGGGCAACCUGCCCUGUACACUGGGAUAACGCACCGAAAGGUGUGCUAAUACCGGAUGAAGUAGCCAUUUCGCAUGGAGAGGCUAUGAAAGCUGAGGCGGUACAGAUGGGCAUGCGUAUGAUUAGCUAGUUGGGGAGGUAACGGCUCACCAAGGCAACGAUCAUUAGGGGUUCUGAGAGGAAGGUCCCCCACACUGGUACUGAGACACGGACCAGACUCCUACGGGAGGCAGCAGUGAGGAAUAUUGGUCAAUGGGCGAGAGCCUGAACCAGCCAAGUCGCGUGAAGGAAGAAGGUUCUAUGGAUUGUAAACUUCUUUUGUAAGGGAAUAAAAAAGAGUACGUGUACUCUAUUGUAUGUACUUUACGAAUAAGGAUCGGCUAACUCCGUGCCAGCAGCCGCGGUAAUACGGAGGAUCCGAGCGUUAUCCGGAUUUAUUGGGUUUAAAGGGUGCGUAGGCGGACUUAUAAGUCAGCGGUGAAAGUUUGCAGCUUAACUGUAAAAUUGCCGUUGAAACUGUUAGUCUUGAGUGUAAAUGAGGUAGGCGGAAUGUGUUGUGUAGCGGUGAAAUGCUUAGAUAUAACACAGAACACCAAUUGCGAAGGCAGCUUACUGGGAUACAACUGACGCUGAGGCACGAAAGCGUGGGGAGCAAACAGGAUUAGAUACCCUGGUUGUCCACGCUGUAAACGAUGGAUACUAGGUGUGGGGGGUCUGACCCCCUCCGUGCCGCAGUUAACACAAUAAGUAUCCCACCUGGGGAGUACGAUCGCAAGGUUGAAACUCAAGGAAUUGACGGGGGCCCGCACAAGCGGAGGAACAUGUGGUUUAAUUCGAUGAUACGCGAGGAACCUUACCCGGGCUUGAAAUGCAUCUGACCGACUUGGAAACAGGUCUUCUAGCAAUAGCAGAUGUGUAGGUGCUGCAUGGUGUCGUCAGCUCGUGCCGUGAGGUGUCGGCUUAAGUGCCAUAACGAGCGCAACCCCUAUUGAUAGUUACUAACAGGUUACGCUGAGGACUCUAUUGAGACUGCCACCGUAAGGUGUGAGGAAGGUGGGGAUGACGUCAAAUCAGCACGGCCCUUACGUCCGGGGCGACACACGUGUUACAAUGGGGGGUACAGAGGGUUGCUACUUGGUGACAAGAUGCUAAUCUCUUAAAGCCUCUCUCAGUUCGGAUCGGAGUCUGCAACUCGACUCCGUGAAGCUGGAUUCGCUAGUAAUCGCGCAUCAGCCAUGGCGCGGUGAAUACGUUCCCGGGCCUUGUACACACCGCCCGUCAAGCCAUGGAAGCUGGGGGGACCUGAAGUACGUAACCGCAAGGAGCGUCCUAGGGUAAAACUAGUAACUGGGGCUAAGUCGUAACAAGGUAGCCGUACCGGAAGGUGCGGCUGGAUCACCUCC
rnacentral:rRNA from 1 species